rnacentral:rRNA from 1 species
GACGAACGCUGGCGGCGCGCCUAACACAUGCAAGUCGAACGGAGCUGAGAGAAGCUUGCUUUUCUUAGCUUAGUGGCGAACGGGUGAGUAACGCGUGAGUAACCUGCCCUGGAGUGGGGGACAACAGUUGGAAACGACUGCUAAUACCGCAUAAGCCCACGAUCCGGCAUCGGCUUGAGGGAAAAGGAUUUAUUCGCUUCAGGAUGGACUCGCGUCCAAUUAGCUAGUUGGUGAGGUAACGGCCCACCAAGGCGACGAAUGGUAGCCGGACUGAGAGGUUGAACCGCCACAUUGGGACUGAGACACGGCCCAGACUCCUACGGGAGGCAGCAGUGGGGGAUAUUGCACAAUGGGGGAAACCCUGAUGCAGCGACGCCGCGUGGAGGAAGAAGGUUUUCGGAUUGUAAACUCCUGUCGUUAGGGACGAUAAUGACGGUACCUAACAAGAAAGCACCGGCUAACUACGUG